UACGUAGGUCCCAAGCGUUAUCCGGAAUUACUGGGUGUAAAGCGUCUGUAGGCGGGUUUAUAAGUUUCAUAUGAAAGACCGGAGCUCAACUCCGUGUUUGUAUGAAAAACUAUCUACCUAGAAUUAGGGAGAGGUAAACGGAAUGGUAAGAGUAGAGGUGCAAUUCGUAGAUACUUACCAGAACACCAAAAGCGAAGGCAGUUUACUGGAACUAUAUUGACGCUGAGAGACGAAAGCGUGGGGAGCGAAAAGG
rnacentral:rRNA from 1 species